GGACCAGAGUAGUUUAUCCCAUCCAUUUUAGAUUGGCCAGAGAGAAAUUCAGAUUUACAGAAUUAAAUAGCAUGCGAUUGGCUAAAAAAGAAGAAGAAGAAGAACCAAAAUAUGCGAGAGAUCUCAGAUUCGUUGUUGAUAUGAUCGAUCAAAACGACGCCGACGAUGACGACAGCGUCGAAAUGAUUUGCCGGUGGCGGUCCUUCUCUCUGCGCCCCGCAACAUUGCCUUGCCUUGCCUCCCAUCCCAUCGUCUUGUUUCUUCCAGCAGACUCUCCAUCCUUGGUUCAGUGCUCCGGUCAGCCAUGAAAGAAGAUAUAAUAUUGGAAGCCACGGCAGAUUUUUCCUGCUGCCUGUCGCUCUCUAUGGCUCUGGGCUCCGGCAAAUGCACGCGCGUGUCGGACGAUGAUUCUUGGAUCUUGAUAAGGUUGCAUGUCCUCCUAUAUUAUUGGCUGCGUUGCCCAUGAUAUCUGGGUCAGUCUGAACUGAUUGCACCGGCGGUGAUAUAAGAGAGAGACUGAGAGAGAGUCUUUGUCAGUAUCCAGCAAUUUAGAUUGACUCUCGUCCUGUUCACAAUAGAAAACAAUGCACCAUGGAUUCUUGGUUUCUUUUUUCUUCAUUUUCAUUUGGACGAUGCAUGCACUCUGAAAAUUAAUGGCCACAUGGAUCCAUCAACUUUUUUUCUUUUCUUUUCGAACUUAAAGCAGGAGCG
rnacentral:misc_RNA from 1 species